rnacentral:lncRNA from 1 species
AUGGCCUUCCGGAGACACGCUGGGCGAGUGGAAAAUGUAAUGAAAUUCCCAGAGCCUCCUGGUGCACUACCAAGGACUGCUCUCCUCAAACCUCCUCACUGGUUGUUUUCCUCUGUUGCUCAAGCCGUAUGUCUCCGAAGGAAGGCCCAGCUCUGCCAUUUGAACAAUCCUCCUCCAUCUGCUGCUCCUGCUCCUGUGGAGUGGCAGCGCGGUGACGCCGGGCCUGCAGACACUGCCUCGGUCCCUCUGGCACUGCUGUGCUUCCAGGGAGCCAGGCUGGGUGUAGUGCCCAAAAUGCAUUUGGUAAUUGUGCCUAAUUCUCACUGACUUCAGUACGAGUUCUGCCACUCUCAUUGCAGCAAGUGUGGACAAGAGUCAAGGUCAGUUUUGGGAGCUUUUGUAAGAGGAAUGCAAGAGGAGGAAAACAGACCUAAGGAAGACAGGGUUUUUACAGUCCUACUUCUGUUGCAGUCAAAGGAAGCUCCCCCAUUAAUUUCAGUGAAAAGAGAAAUAAAGUAUAAGCCAGGAAAUCA